rnacentral:tRNA from 1 species
GCCUGGGUGGCUCCGUCGGUUAAGCGUCUGACUUCAGCUCAGGUCAUGAUCCCACAGUUCGUGGGUUUGAGCCCCGCAUCAGGCU